CGCUCGUUGGUCUAGGGGUAUGAUUCUCGCUUUGGGUGCGAGAGGUCGAGGUUCAAAUCGGACGAGCCC
rnacentral:tRNA from 1 species